UCUGCCCCCGGAAGUUGAUUUCCUCCAAGGCCCGCCCAGAGCUGCGCUUGUCACUCAACGCCAACACGCGCGUCACAUGACCCGAGCUGAGGGCCCCCAUCCUCAGAGCCACGCCUCUAAUGGCUUGAGUAGUCCAUGGAGGGUUGCCUUCUGAAAGGGGUUGACGCAGAAACUACCUCCUGUUGAUUAUAGCUUCUCAUUCCUCUAGAAUGACGGGCGCAGUUCCUAUGCCUAAUGUAUGCAAAUAAAACCAUCCGCAAAAUGAUACUCCCAUCCGGGAUUCUAUAGGACUGUUCCUGAGAAAAGCCUGCCUGAUGUUUUCACCACCUCCAGGCAGAGUUCAAUAAAAACGAACUUAGCCAAAUGCCUGACAGGUAGUAAGUGCUCAAGAAACAGUUGACUGGACGGCUGCUCCAUUUCUUCUCUGUAUAUCUGAACACUCAAGCACCGGAAGGCACCUAAACCCAGAGCCUCUCCAGACCAUAUGACAUCAGUCAAAGACUCUGCUUGAGAAUUAUUUUUGUUCUUGGCCUCAGCUCUGGAUCACAGCAACUUAUAUAUGCCAUCUCUGUUUCAGAGACAGUUUAUUUUCAGCUGCCAAGCCACUUUUUUCCAAGCCUUCAGUCAAAUAAUUUCUCCUGAAGAAAAAGAAAAGAGAAUGACAUAACUGUCAGGGUUUUAUUUCAAAAGAAGAGUGGUUAUAUAGAUUUUUUGUGUGUGUUCAUAUCAAAGUGUCAAUAACUGUUAAAGAGGAACAGUCAACUAGCAAGUCACUUGUCAAUGAUUCUUCCAUCUUUGACAUGGGAGAGAUUUGAAGAACAUUUAUUUAGCAAUUUUUUUAUUAAGUGUCUACUUGGCUUACUGGACUAAGUUGUGGCAAUCUGAGAAUGGACCAGAUUUCAUUCAAGAUGUUUGCCUUCAAGGAGUUUAUAGUCUAGUGGGAAAAAUAAACAAGUAAAACCUGGGAACUUUGAGCAUAAAUCUCUGGAACAUUCAUAGUCAUUGUAUAACAGGAAUUCUUUAACAUUUUGGAUGUUAUUUUCUCAUCUUUCCACUGAACAAAAUUGACUCAAGCCUUUAAUAAUCUCUGCUGUGUACUUGCAGUGGAAAAUGUCAACAAGUAAUCCUAACAAUUCUCCAGGAAGUGGAGGCUCAGGUGGUUAAUGAGUAGUCCCAAUAUUGAGCUCAAAAGUCGGUCUUCUACAUCCAUUUUUUCUGUCAUGUGUUUCUAUCAUGAACACGUUUCCACUAUAGCAGAUUGAUGCUUUCUUACCCAAAUUUAUUUACCUAUCUACUAGACCACGAAGUCAAAGACCACUUUUCAUUUGUAUAUCUGCCCAUCACCCUAAUAGAUCGUGACCUUUUGAGAUGAGAAACAUGGUUCCUGCCCUCAAGAGGAUCAAAUUUGGAGAAAAAGGUAGAUAAUGAUAUCAAAUAGGGUGAGAACAAGCACUGAAAUCAAGUUUAUUGUUAAAAUGUGGAGGAGGAACACCUCAUUCAACCUGCGUUCAACAAAAGUACUUCUCAAAAAUGUCAAGCUCAAGAUGAGUAUUGAAGAACCAGUAGGAAUUGGCCAAGCUAAGAAGAGACAAAGAGUGCUCCAUACACAGGCACGUAUACCUUUGUAUGUAUCUCCUUGCCUAUGAACUGUAGAGUAAAACUCAUUACAAGUAUUCUGGAUCCAUUUUUGGCUAAGUGAAGAGGAAAGUUUUACCAGCUGAUGGCCGUUUGAUGACCUACAUGGAAAGAACUGGUAGACUCAGGAGAGCACAAUUGAGAGAAGUGAUCACAUCACAAAAUGUGACAUCAUUCUUUGGCACCAGCUGGCAUCCUGGACAUGGAGAAUACAUUUGGAGGAGUCAUUGCUCUUGAAACCCCCAAAAGUCUACUCAAACAACAAAUGCUUAUUCAAAU